AUAAGAUCCACAGGGCAUUGCAUGUUUUGCAAGUUUCACAGUAGCCAGAGUGAAGAGCUUACAGGCUAUUGGUUCUCAAGGUGCGUGCACAUGACUUUUCAUAGGUUUGGCUGUAAUCAGGGCCGGCGCUUCCUAUAAGGCGACCUAGGCAUAGGAGGGGGCACCCUGCGCCCUCAUCGCCGGCCCUAAUGCUGCAGCCACAUCCAUUUGCAUCCGUUUCCUGUACCCGGCCAGACUGAUAG